rnacentral:rRNA from 1 species
GCUGUAGCGCGGUGGUCCCACCUGACCCCAUGCCGAACUCAGAAGUGAAACGCCGUAGCGCCGAUGGUAGUGUGGGGUCUCCCCAUGCGAGAGUAGGGAACUGCCAGAC